rnacentral:rRNA from 1 species
AACGAACGCUGGCGGCAGGCUUAACACAUGCAAGUCGAGCGCCCACUUGUGGGAGCGGCAGACGGGUGAGUAACGCGUGGGAACAUGCCCUUCGGUUCGGAAUAGCCCCGGGAAACUGGGUGUAAUACCGAAUACGUCCUCAGGGAGAAAGAUUUAUCGCCGAAGGAUUGGCCCGCGUUAGAUUAGGUAGUUGGUGAGGUAACGGCUCACCAAGCCUACGAUCUAUAGCUGGUUUGAGAGGAUGAUCAGCCACACUGGGACUGAGACACGGCCCAGACUCCUACGGGAGGCAGCAGUGAGGAAUCUUGGACAAUGGGGGAAACCCUGAUCCAGCCAUGCCGCGUGAAUGAUGAAGGCCUUAGGGUUGUAAAAUUCUUUCAGCAGGGAAGAUAAUGACGGUACCUGCAAAAGAAGCCCCGGCUAACUCCG